rnacentral:lncRNA from 1 species
CACAUUCCUCUUCAGCGGUGCAAGCGGCAGGCGUAUCCGUGCGGCCAGUAGGCUUUUCUGUGCCGGCUUUGCAAGUAGAAGCGCCGAAAACGCUGCUCUUCAGCGAUGAAGAGCACGGUCGUGCCACCCCUUCGAUAUCCCGGGGGAGUACACUCUAGCUCGAUCUGAACGUUAUCGCGCGAGCGUCGACCGGCCUU